rnacentral:rRNA from 1 species
GAUGAACGCUGGCGGCGUGCUUAACACAUGCAAGUCGAACGGAAAGGCCACAGCUUGCUGUGGUACUCGAGUGGCGAACGGGUGAGUAACACGUGGGUGAUCUGCCCUGUACUUCGGGAUAAGCUUGGGAAACUGGGUCUAAUACCGGAUAGGAAUCACAUGUGGGUGUGUGGUUGGAAAGCUUUUGCGGUAUGGGAUGAGCUCGCGGCCUAUCAGCUUGUUGGUGGGGUAAUGGCCUACCAAGGCGUCGACGGGUAGCCGGCCUGAGAGGGUGUACGGCCACAUUGGGACUGAGAUACGGCCCAGACUCCUACGGGGGGCAGCAGUGGGGAAUAUUGCACAAUGGGCGCAAGCCUGAUGCAGCGACGCCGCGUGGGGGAUGACGGCCUUCGGGUUGUAAACUCCUUUCGUCAGGGACGAAGCGAAAGUGACGGUACCUGGAUAAGAAGCACCGGCUAACUACGUG